CACUGAAGAGGAGGAGGAGGAGGAGGAGGAGGAAGGCGUGUCCUCCUCCUCCUCCGCCUCCUCCUCCUCCUGCUGCAGA
rnacentral:miRNA from 1 species